CUAAAGGUUAAAGAGCAUCAGCUUCCCAAGUAACCAGGAAGUAACCAGCAAGUGACCAGCAUCCUUAAUGUUUCGAAGAAACACUCAUUCCCUAGUUUCCUUCAGACCUGAGGAGGGCCAUGAGGAUGUUAGCCGUAACCCACAUCCUAGAGAAGCAUACUGUGUGCUCUCUAGGUGGGGUCACCCGCAUUCUACCGUGAAAGGAGCCUUGUUUCCCCUUCAGACUUCUUAGUCUGCUUUCCACCACCAGCAGUAAAACCCAAUGCCAGAGCUGGGCAGAUGUAUAUGUGGACUUGCUGAUGUCACUUUGCUGUGUUCUGUACUGGGAGGAACGGAGUAAGGCUUCUGUCACAUAGAAUUUUACCAGAA
rnacentral:lncRNA from 1 species